ACAUCGUUGGUCUCCUCUCAUGCUUGCACUGAGCACAUCAGGAAUUGCUUACUUUUUUCUCUCUCGUUGCUGCACUGAACACAGUAGGAAUUGUUCGACUUCUGUCUAUCUCAUCUUGUACUGAAUACAGUAGGAAUUGUUGACCUCUCUCUCCCAUCUUGCCUUGAACACAUUAGGAAUUGCUUACUUCUCUCUCUCAUAUCUUUGUACUGAACGCAUCAUGUAUUGUUUACUCCAUUGCUUGGCAAAAAAAGGGGGGCCAUCAUAAUAUCGCACGUUACACACCUAGCCAAGACAGAGAGAGAGAGAGGUGUUGGUGAUGAGGCUGUGGCCUAAGGAGGAGGAGGAGAUGGCGUCCAAAUGAGCCAAGAGAGAGAGGUGUUGGUGACAUAGGAGAGAGAAGCGAGGAGAGGAGGUGGUGGAGAGAGAACGAGAGAAGUGGUAGAGAGAUGAGGAAGUGAGGAGAGAAAAAGAGAAGUGAUAGAGAAAGAACGAAGAAAUGGUGGUAGGUUGAGGAGUAACCCGAUGGAGCAUUGAUGCCGUCCAAAUGACCUCAGAGAGAGAGAGGUAUUGGUUACAGAGGAGAGAGAAGCAAGGAGAGGAGGUGGUGUAGAGAGAGAGAACGAAGUGGGUGAGGAG
rnacentral:lncRNA from 1 species